rnacentral:rRNA from 1 species
GAUGAACGCUGGCGGCGUGCCUAAUACAUGCAAGUCGAGCGAACAGAUCGGAUCUUGCUCCUCUGACGUUGGCGGCGGACGGGUGAGUAACACGUGGGUAACCUUUCUCUAAGACUGGAAUUACUCCGGGAAACCGGGGCUAAUGCCGGAUAACAUGUUGAACCGCAUGGUUCUACAGUGUAAGGCGGCUUUGCUGUCACUUAUCGAUGGACCAGCGCCGUUUUAGCUAGUUGGGGCGGUAACGGCUUACCAAGGCAACGAGCCGUAACCGACCUGAGAGGGUGGUCGGCCACACUGGAAGUGAGACGCGGUCCUGACUCCUGCGGUAGGCAGCAGUAGAGAAUCUUACGCAAUGGUGGAGAGCCUUACAGAGCAACGGGGCGUAAGUGAUGAAGGUGCUCGGAGCGGAAAGCUCUGUUAUGAGUUGUGAACAAAUGCGUAAUUAACUGUGCGGUUCUUGACGGUACCGGGUCAAAAAGCCACGGCUAACUACGUG